rnacentral:rRNA from 1 species
AACGAACGUUAGCGGCGCGCCUAACACAUGCAAGUCGCACGAGAAAGGGCUUCGGCCCCGGUAAAGUGGCGCACGGGUGAGUAACACGUGGGUAACCUGCCCUCGAGCGGGGGAUAACAUUCCGAAAGGAGUGCUAAUACCGCAUAAGACCACGAUCGCGAAAGAGGACGAGGUAAAAGCUGGCCUCUGUAUACAAGCUAGCACUUGCGGAUGGGCCCGCGGCGCAUCAGGUAGUUGGUGAGGUAACGGCUCACCAAGCCGAAGACGCGUAGCUGGUCUGAGAGGAUGAUCAGCCACACUGGAACUGAGACACGGUCCAGACUCCUACGGGAGGCAGCAGUGGGGAAUCUUGCGCAAUGGGCGAAAGCCUGACGCAGCGACGCCGCGUGAGUGAUGAAGGCCUUCGGGUUGUAAAGCCCUGUGGGGCGAGACGAAUAAGUGCAGCCCAAUACGCUGCAUGAUGACGGUAUCGCCUUAGCAAGCACCGGCUAACUCUGUGCCAGCCGCCGCAGUAA